UUUUUUUUUUCCAUUUCACUGAUACAGAUGAUGGAGUUCUCCCAGCGGCUGAGCUAAGGAGCGCUCCCCACACUGGGGUAGAGGAAGGCAUGGAAAACUAUACGAGAGAAAAAGUGGAGGUUUGGGGAGGGCAAAAAGAAGGGAGUGUGUUUUGGGGGGGGAUGCAAAUUGUUCGGCUUUGGAAACGAUCAUAGAUAAUAUCAGUAAGACCUGUCACUCUGGCUUCCUUUUAAAGAGGAUGGGCAAACACAGGUAGGUUUAGGAUUUAAAAAACAGGUGUCAGAGAUUUCACAGCGGGGUCACUAAAUCUGAUGUUAAAAGCUCUGUCUAUGAUUGACUGAGUUCCAGUCAGACAGACCCCAAAGUUUAUAGGACGACGAUUCAUUCUUGGUUACCUUUAAAAAUAUUUGAAUUGUAAGCAAAGUUGCCACAUAGGUUACAGACACCACAUCCCAGUAAAUCUUCAGUUCACGCACCCCAGGGUGGACCAAAAAAUUAGUCCAAUAUAGAACUUACACAAUUUCGAAGUCUGAGUGACAAACUUAAAAGUUUAUCAGGCAAGACAUCUCAAGCGUAUAAAGCCAUAUAAAAAAAAGCACAUUGGUUUGACAUCUUGGAUAAAAAAUAGCUGCGAGAUUUCUUCAGAUAACGUGGCUAUUAAAGAGGGCCUUGGUUUCAGUGACAAACGCUGAAGAAAGCUUCCCGCUGUGGCUGGAAUGUCCCCUUCCCUGGGCACAGUUAACAGCAAUGCUUACUAAGGAGACAGCGUGGAUUGAAGCACCUUAGAAAGCCCGAAGCUCAGCAAAGCUGCAAAGCACUGCCUGUCUGCAGCAAGUCGCCAAAUGUCCAGGAGAGGUGGGACAAGGACGUGUAUGGAAACACACUGGGUGCCGGUACCGUCUCAAGUCAUCCUUGUUGCUAGCAGCAACCAGAAGACGCUGGGACGACACAGCCCUCCUGUACCAUCCAUCCUGCAGAAUCGUGGCUGGGACAGUCAUGAGUCUGCUCUGUGUAAAGAAGAGGAGAUCAGAGCAUUGAGCAAUCAGCUAACGAAUCCUGCUGAGAUGGUUGGAGUCUGACGGGAACAGAAAGUUUUGAGGGAGUUCACUGCCGAUGCAAGAUGACUGGCUGGAUAAAGAAGUCCAAAGUUAUUUUUUUAUCUGUAGAACAAAUAAAGCCUGGCCAAAGGAGUUUCUUCAUGGCGAGAGAAUGUGUAGUUACGAGGCUGUGAUGAGAGCAUCAACCUGUUGCUCUGCCCUGGAAACAACAUUUAGCACCAAUAGCCUUGAUCAUCACUGGCAUCUGCUACUGAGACCGAUGCAAGCAGACCAGAGGGAACAGUGCAAAACAAAACUCAUUCCAGACUCUGAAGAUGGACAGAGUUUAGCUUACUGAAUCAAGACACAAGUCUCCAGGGAGAGCCCGUGAAAGGGACUCCAAGGAAAAUCUCCAGAAGAGAUCGUCCACAGUUGCCUCGGCCCGUGACAGAAAGAAGCAGCAAAGCCCCGUGUCAUGUCACCGAGAUUGUUUUCAUAACAGUUGAUAUUUUUCACUCUGAUAUAGAAAUUAAUACCAGAAGUAGAGUCUGGACAUAAUGAAAUCCUAUCACUUGACUGUUACCUCAUCCUAAAUAGGUAAAUCAAUUUUUUAAUCCAGGCACUAAUGAAACUAUUACCAGAGAAUGAAAAAAUGGCAAUCAGUGCUUUGCAGUGUUCAAUAUUAAUUAUGAACAUCCCUACUAGCUUGGAGUUAGUCCAUAUACCUGGUAUGUAGCAACAGGGGGAAAGAUCAGAUAGGGAAUUUUAGUAAUAUCAUCACGUAUUAGGGAUUACAUAUACCUUAAUGACUUUUCAAGUAGAAAUAACAAGAUGCAGAGACCCCAGAAACUUGGUCCCAUAGAAUUGGAAAAGAUAAAUUUGUUUUAGACUCAAGAAACAUGGUAGGGCACUACACAGAAUUUAAGCAGCAAAACUUUUGCUAAGUUCUCGAUAGAAUGAAUGAACGUGAGAGCAAACCCAGCCCAGAAGUGUGGCCUUCUCGCUUUUCAUCAUGGUCACCCUCAGUGUGUUACGCUGCAUGACAGAGAUGGAGGUGGAGACACAAAGGUAAUACAGGAGCUCCUCUGUUGCCAGUCUCAAGAGUAACUCGGGGCAGGGCGACCGCACACGGACCAGUGACUGGCAGCAAGCGGAGUGCAUGCUGUCUAUGUUUUGACAACUGGGCUCUGAAGAACCCAGAAGCCUGAAUCCCAGAGAACUCACUUUAUCCCAAAAUUAAAACAAUUUCUAAUUCCCACCCCUCUGGCCUGAGUGGCAGUUAGCUCCUAGUGUUGCCUUCAUUGGAGGAAAGUAAAUCCCCCAAACCUACUUACUGGAGGAAGAUGAAGACAGAGAUAAAGGGUCUUCCUCGAGACAGACCCACAUUCCUCUUCCACCACAGGGAGCUGCCUUCCUGCAUUGGCCCCUAGGGGCCCAAGCACCACAGGGGUCCCCAAGGCAGGGUGCUAUUGUUCUCUUUUUGCCUGAUAUGGUUCUCCACUCUUUUCCCAACCACAGUGUAGUGGUUGCCAUGGUGAGAAAGUUGAGGUAGGAGUUGAAGUCUUUUUAAUAUCUGGGUACCAUGCCACCCCAAAUCCUGGAUAUUUACUGAAAGGUGAUGAUUUGAUGGGCGCCCCUGCCACCCGGCCCCACCCCUAUGUACUGUAAGAAGAAGAGUGGCGUAGACUUCUGGGGUCCAGAGGGCACAAUGUGGGGGUUAAACCUUAAGCGAUUACAUUUCUUAACCUCCGGGGCUAUGCAGAACGGCACCCCUGCCUGGCCACACUACCGAACCUUGACCAGCAGAGACAGUAACCAUCCCCUCAGUGGUUUGCCAUCUCCGCCGUUCUCCUCUUACCCCAACCGCUGGGGGCAGAGGACUCCAAAAUGGAAGAGCCUCGGGAUGGACAGAGUCUCGACUUCAGAGCCAUCACGUAGAAGAAGGCAUCCAGGAAGUGGUCUGACCCAAACCACAUGUCCAUGUACAGCUGGCGGCGUGGUGGCCCUGGUGUCACAGCACUGCGCACGUCACCACCACUCUGAAGGACACAUUUCACUUCAGUGGCUGUUAGGGGGCCUGGCAUGCAGCACAGCACUGCACUUCGACACCGAGACGUCCAGGCUGUGACAGAGAGAUGGGGACCUCGACCGUCAACCAGAUAUUCUUGUCUGAGCCUGCAGACCCGAGGGUGGUCCUUGUGUGUACUAAGAAAAUGCUCAAUCCCUGAGCCAUGGGGCCAGGCUGUUACAUCACAGUUGUGUAAGUUUGCGGGUCCCUCAUCACCAGCUACCCCGUGAGACUGGACUUCCGGGAAUUUGAGCUUCUGAACGGGCCUCAUCAGAGCCUUUGUGGACCUGAUGUUCGAGAUGUGGUAAAGUCACUUCGGUUUUAGCUACUGAGCUUUCCAAGGAUGUGACAGAGACGGAGAGCUUUGUCUUCCUAAGUCCCCACAAGACGGUGUCCAACUGAGUGUUCUACGGCACUUUUGGGAGGUUUGGACCAAAUGAAGCAUGGACUGGAGGCUGUUCAGACACUGCAGCCAUCCCGCCCACCAGGAAACCCUAGGAACUCUCAGUCUGCCCUCCCUGCCAGAGCGCCCACACUUUGGGAAGAAGGGCCGUGGGAUUACUCCGCAUUGGCAUUAAUGCUAUGGAGAGCUCCCUUCUCAUCUGAGUAAUGCUAAUUUGCCUCCAUCCCCAGUCAUUUGCUACCUAGAGAAAUGCCCUAACAGCCUGUGACUGGGUUCCGACCUGCAGAGGCUGAGACGCUCGCUGGGGCUGUCUGAUAUCAGAGCACUUGUGCCUGUAUUUUUAGAAGCAUCUCUCAGUUAGCCCAACCUUUAGUGUACUGUAGGUACUUUUAAUAAUCUCCAUAAAAGCCUGAUUUCCAAUCCCUAGGCUCAAGCUGACAGUGUAAAUAAAAUCACCCAAAUCCACAGGGACAGAGAAAUGAAAAUGACAUGGAUUAAAAUUUGGUCAAAACCUCUUUCUUUUUAAAAAUUCUGCUUCCCUUCCAAUUGGAUCACGACCCUCUGUGUGUUCAGCUUAAGGCCAGACGGCCUGCUUUCACUUUUAUUCCUCUCUGUAGCAGGCUUACAGUAUUUAGUGAGGGGCUGCAAAGAAUGUGCGCCGGGGAGAGAGUUAAUACCAUAAUCCCCCAUCGGUGGGGUCAGAUGCUGAAUAAAGUGAGAGAAUUAGCGAAUAUGUGACGUACAAUGGAAGCGAAAACACAUCAGCAUGGGCACAUCAGCACGGUGUCUUGUGAGUAGGGGCAUUCGUUGCCCAGGAGUAAUGGCUGUGAGGUAGUGUAGUGUGCACACUUAAAAGUUGACCGUGGAAACAGGGAUGGAAGACUGGCAAGUGUCUUAAUGUGUUUUCUCUCUCUCUCUCUCUCUCUCUCUCUCUCUCUCUCUCUCUCUCUCUCUUCUCUCUUCUCUCAUUGCAUCUGCCCAAGCACCUGCCUGGAUCUGUUCCCUAAGUCACACGUUAACCACGAAUCAUCACACAGAGCAGAGUAGGCGUCUUCUCUUCGCUCUUCUGCCGAGGGUGUGAAUGUGGUUCCGAAAACGCCGUGAUGCGGCUGUCUCAGGAGGAUUCUCUCAACGAACAAGUAGAGAUUGGCGGCACCGCAGGAAAAAAAAAGUGUUAACAGCCACCAUCUCAUGUGCCUUGGGAAAGCCAACCAUGCUCCCUGGAAAUGUCAUGGAUCGGAACCUCAGGGUACUUGCCUGUUUCUUCUGGUUUUUCUCAUUAGCAAGCCUAUUUAAUGUCAGUCCAGGGCACGGCGCCUGAAGUCUACUGAUCUCGACUGUAGUCAUUCAUCUUCGUGAUUCUCAGUGAUGCUUCAAGAGCCGCUUGUUUCCCAACUUUGAUACAUACUUUAUGUAAAAUAAAUGUAUCCUUCUUAAACAUACAGUUUUCACCGCUACUUGUACCCCCGUGGGAAUCACUGAGUUUGUUUUGAGACAGGAUCUCACUAUGGAGUGAACUUGCAAAGUCUUGGGACCAUACUCUAAGCCAACCGUGUGAGUGUCCACACCCUGAGAAGUUGGUGCAAGAGAAGGUGUCCACUGAGGGGCUGAGGCAGUUUUACUCAGGAUUAUAAAACUUCCUGACAGUCAUAUUUGAGAUUGUAACCUACAGGCAGAAAUAGAGGUGAAAAAAUGAAGAAGUGGGGAAGUGAAUGAAUGUUAGUGUGUGUAUGUGUGUGUGCACUUGAGUGUGAAUAUCAUGGGUAUGUGAGUAUGCCUUUGUGCACAUGAGAGCACACAUGUGUGCAUCUGAGUGCAUGCUACUGUUUGUGGCUAUGCAUGUAUGUGCAACAGGGUAUGCAUGUGAAUGAGUGUGUGAAUGUGUGUUCAUGAAUAUGUACAUGGAUGUGUGCACACGGGUGCGGGUGAGUCUCUGUCAGUUCUUGUAGCCACCAGCUAAUGAUGGGGACUGGCUUCCUGCUCCACCAGACAAUAUCCACAAAGUAACUGAAAACGAAUGGUCUCCAGAGAUAACACUCAGGGACGCUAUGAAUCAGAGAUUGGAGCUAUUUGUGAAGAAUAACCUUCUCUUUGCUAUAAGACGCUUCAGUACAUGAAAUUCCCCAGGGGAUGCUGGAUCCUAACCGGGAAGCAUAAGCCAGGCUGCAGAGAGUAAUCUGGCAUAUUGUCUCUUUCCCACAGGACAUAUUGACUAAAUCACAGAAGAGAUCUUGUUUCACGUAAAUAAAGCACUAUUGUUUAGGACGGACACAUCCGAGUGUCUAAAAUGUCACUCACUAUCAUAUCUCCAUUUCUAUUGGCCCAGAGUUGGCCUCAGUCUUCCUUACUGUCUCUUCCUCCUUUACAUCCCACAACCAUCCCUGUUUCCUCUCUCCCCUGUCACCCAUUUUCAUGGGGAACUCGUUCACAGCCAUGAAGCUAGGGGGGCCCAGGCUACAGCUCCAAGCCAGGAUUCUGCACACUUCUAACUGACUGAUUUCUCUCCCUUGAUGUCCCACCAGCAGACCAAAUCCCACCGUCAACAGCUGAGCUCCCAACUAUCCACACAAAGCAUUCCUCCUCCGUAGAACUUUCCAUAUACUUCCAUUAGCUCAUAUCUCACUUCUUAUUCCCUCCCUGGCUGAAGGUGACAAGCACGUGUCUUCCCCUGGUGCCUGGCAUGGUGCCGGGCAUCUGGUGGGCAUUUAUAGAUAGUUACACAGGGAAAGAGAACACAGAGUUUGUUCUCCCGUAAACCCUGAUGUUUACAAGUGAUGGGCGAGUGGCUGUGAAGGCCCUGUGAACACAGCAGGCACUCAGCCCCCCUCCCACCAGCCUCCACCUCUGCAGGUUGCUGAGACAUUAGGCAGCAUAUGUUU